UCAGGUUCUAAAGGGCAACGGCGCACUCCGGAAGCGGCCGGAGCAAGUUUGUGUGAUUGGCAAGUGCAUUAGGACCGGUCUCUAAACACGGCUGUUCAAACUGGCGGUUGCUUUCGUCAGAAGAAUGGUUCAUGUCUUUGUCUAUGGGACACUUAAGAAAGGCCAGCCAAACUACUCGUACAUGAUAAAUGGUGCUAAUGGGACAGCCAGAUUCCAGGGCAGGGGGCUCACAGUGGAGAAAUACCCCCUAGUGAUUGCCGGGAAAUACAACAUUCCUUAUUUGCUGAAUAUCCCAGGAACGGGAUACCGUGUCACUGGAGAGAUUUAUGCUGUCAAUGACCAGAUGUUGCAAUUCCUUGAUGAGUUUGAAAGUUGUCCAGACAUGUAUCAGCGUACCCCAGUGAGAAUUGAAGUAGUUGAGCAGGAAGAUGAAAGUAGUCCACCUGAAGGGACACCAGCUGUUAACAGCAUCCUGGAAUGCUAUGUGUAUAGCACCACCACUUACCAGCCAGAGUGGAUACAUCUCCCUUACUAUGACAACUAUGAUUCCUUUGGGAAACAUGGGCUUCCAUAUGUACUAAGGGAAAGCAGAGAUUGAAACUGGAAGCUCCAUAAAUGACCACAGACUAUUGAAUAGGAUCAACAACCUCUUUUCAUUUAUAGCUCAGAAUUUUGAAAUAUGCCAACAGGGAAGAAGGCCGAUUCUCAAGAAAACUGCAAGAAAGCAGUUUUUAAGGUUCAGAAUCAAAUUUCAUGUCUUUUCAAAACAGUCAAGCUUGUGACCCUAUGAAUAGUUCAAGUUUUCCAAAUUAAUCUACAAUCAAGAGGAGGCUCUACAGGAUCACAAAGGCCUGAAUGAACAGGUAUGUCUUGACCUGAUGAAGAAAGGCUGACUGAUGCAACUCCAAAGAGGGAGUUCCACAAACAAGAUGACACCACAGAGAAGACCCUAACUUGAGUCACUGCAGGAGGGGCCACACCCAUUUGCAGAACCAUGAGAAGGACCUCCCAUACAGAUCACAAAGACCUGGGCUUUUCCUUAUGGAGAGCAUGCUCCAACUUCUAGAUCGUAUUUCUAGUCUUUCCUGCACUUUUCUAGCUCUAUUUUGAGUUAGGAUGACCAUACUGAGCAUUCCAACUAUGACCCUGCCACAGAUUUAUACAAUUUAUACAAACUUUA